AGUGAACGCUGGCGGUAGGCCUAACACAUGCAAGUCGAACGGCAGCACAGUAAGAGCUUGCUCUUACGGGUGGCGAGUGGCGGACGGGUGAGGAAUACAUCGGAAUCUACUUUUUCGUGGGGGAUAACGUAGGGAAACUUACGCUAAUACCGCAUACGACCUACGGGUGAAAGCAGGGGAUCUUCGGACCUUGCGCGUUUGAAUGAGCCGAUGUCGGAUUAGCUAGUUGGCGGGGUAAAGGCCCACCAAGGCGACGAUCCGUAGCUGGUCUGAGAGGAUGAUCAGCCACACUGGAACUGAGACACGGUCCAGACUCCUACGGGAGGCAGCAGUGGGGAAUAUUGGACAAUGGGCGGAAGCCUGAUCCAGCAAUACCGCGUGGGUGAAGAAGGCCUUCGGGUUGUAAAGCCCUUUUGUUGGGAAAGAAAAGAAGCAGGUUAAUACACCGAUGUUCUGACGGUACCCAAAGAAUAAGCACCGGCUAACUUCGUG
rnacentral:rRNA from 1 species